UACGUAGGGGGCAAGCGUUAUCCGGAUUUACUGGGUGUAAAGGGAGCGUAGACGGCUGUGCAAGUCUGAAGUGAAAGCCCAGGGCUCAACCCUGGGACUGCUUUGGAAACUGGGAGACUUGAGUGCAGAAGAGGAGAGUGGAACUCCAUGUGUAGCGGUGAAAUGCGUAGAUAUAUGGAAGAACACCAGUGGCGAAAGCGGCUCUCUGGUCUGUAACUGACGCUGAGGCUCGAAAGCGUGGGGAGCAAACAGG
rnacentral:rRNA from 1 species